rnacentral:rRNA from 1 species
CCUACGGGUGGCAGCAGUGAGGAAUAUUGGUCAAUGGACGCAAGUCUGAACCAGCCAUGCCGCGUGCAGGAAGACGGCCCUACGAGUUGUAAACUGCUUUUGUACGAGGGUAAACUCAGAUACGCGUAUCUUUCUGAAAGUAUUUUAUGAAUAAGGAUCGGCUAACUCCGUGCCAGCAGCCGCGGUAAUACGGAGGAUUCAAGCGUUAUCCGGAUUUAUUGGGUUUAAAGGGUGCGUAGGUGGUCGGAUAAGUUAGGGGUGAAAGCCUGAGGCUCAACUGCGGAAUUGCAUUUGAUACUGGUCGGCUAGAGAAUAGUUGCGGUAGGCGGAAUGUGUGGUGUAGCGGUGAAAUGCUUAGAGAUCAUACAGAACACCGAUUGCGAAGGCAGCUUACCAAGCUACUUCUGACGUUGAGGCACGAAAGCGUGGGGAGCAAACAGGAUUAGAUACCCCAGUAGUC